CAAUAGCGUAUAUUAAAGUUGUUGCAGUUAGAACGCUCGUAGUCGGAUUUCGGGGCGGGCCGACCGGUCUGCCGAUGGGUAUGCACUGGUCGGCGCGUCCUUCCUUCCGGAGACCGUCCCUACUCUUAACUGAGCGGGGGCGGGAGACGGGACUUUUACUUUGAAAAAAUCAGAGUGUUUCAAGCAGGCAGCUCGCUCUUGCAUGGAUUAGCAUGGGAUAAUGAAAUAGGACUUUGGUGCUAUUUUGUUGGUUUCGAACACCGAAGUAAUGAUGAGAAGGGACAGUCAGGGGCACUCGUAUUCCGCCGAGAGAGGUGAAAUUCUCAGACCAGCGGAAGACGAGCCACUGCGAAAGCAUUUGCCAGGGAUGUUUUCACUGA
rnacentral:rRNA from 1 species